rnacentral:rRNA from 1 species
CAGCAGCCACGGUAAUACGAAGGGUGCAAGCGUUACUCGGAAUUACUGGGCGUAAAGCGUGCGUAGGUGGUGGUUUAAGUCCGUUGUGAAAGCCCUGGGCUCAACCUGGGAAUUGCAGUGGAUACUGGGUCACUAGAGUGUGGUAGAGGAUAGUGGAAUUUCCGGUGUAGCAGUGAAAUGCGUAGAGAUCGGAAGGAACAUCAGUGGCGAAGGCGGCCAUCUGGGACAACACUGACGCUGAGGCACGAAAGCGUGGGGAGCAAACAGGAUUAGAUACCCCAGUAGUCCCUGUCUCUUAUAC